rnacentral:rRNA from 1 species
UACGUAGGGCGCAAGCGUUGUCCGGAAUUAUUGGGCGUAAAGAGCUCGUAGGCGGCUUGUCGCGUCGAUUGUGAAAGCCCGGGGCUUAACUCCGGGUCUGCAGUCGAUACGGGCAGGCUAGAGUGUGGUAGGGGAGAUCGGAAUUCCUGGUGUAGCGGUGAAAUGCGCAGAUAUCAGGAGGAACACCGGUGGCGAAGGCGGAUCUCUGGGCCAUUACUGACGCUGAGGAGCGAAAGCGUGGGGAGCAAACAGG